GGAAGUGGGUUCCUUACUUAGGCACAGGAAGAUGAGUCUGCAAAGUCACUAAGUGGAGCAGCCAGACAGUGCAGAGGAGAGCCAGAGUUGCAUCCCAGGGGCCUUCUUUUGAGAGGACUGUGAAAAGCAGACUGGACAUAUGCUAAUUGAGGUGCUCUGGGCUGCAGAUGCAGUCUAAAUGUCUAUCAUUUAAAUGAAGUUAAAUGAGGUUAAAUGAAGUAUGGACGAGCCAGAGGAAGACUAUACAACUACAAAAAGGGGUCAUAGCAGCAUACAAAAUAAAAAGGUACAGAAGGGGAUGGAAUGAAAGGAAAUCUCUCCUACUUUUGAUGGCGAGCCACUCCUCCUCCUCCCUGGACACCAGUUUUCUGGGCUCAGAGGGAUCAAACCUGUACCCUCUGCAGUGGAAGCUUGGCCUCCUAAUCACUGGACUGCCAAAGAAGUCUCUAACUAAUUUUAUUUUGAACAGUGUGAGUGGCUGCCCCAACUAGUCUUUCUGUAUGUUGAGAACUGGUAAUAGUGUCACUUACAGCUGCUGCCAACUGCGACUGGGGUUGUCUGAAGACUGAGUCAUGUGUGCUUAGAAGACUGUGCCUGGUGCUUAGAACACUGCUUGUCCCAUGUCCCUCUACCCAUUUUGUUCUGGUAAAUGGCUUACUGCAAGUCACCACCUUCUCCAUAAUACUUAGGAAAGGCGAGCGGCGCUUGGGACACUCGGCCGGCGAAAGUGGAGGAGUGGAACGCGCGUCUGAAGACCUCUACCCCUGCUCCGGAACUGGGGGGCUGUCCUGGGUCCCCUCCCCCGGCGCCCCCCGGGAUCGCAGUCUGGGUCGGGGGUCGGGGUGGGAGGCAUACUCCCCACUCCCGCCCUCCCCGCCGCCCGCCUUUGAUUACGGCUAGCAGCGAAUCGCCGAGCAAAUUAACUUUUUGCACACUUCAUUA